rnacentral:rRNA from 1 species
AAAUUUAAAAUCUGGCAGUCUUUGGCUGUCCGAGUUGUAAUCUAGAGAAGUGUUAUCCGCGCUGGACCGUGUACAAGUCUCCUGGAAUGGAGCGUCAUAGAGGGUGAGAAUCCCGUCUUUGACACGGACUACCAGGGCUUUAUGGAUGCGCUCUCAAAGAGUCGAGUUGUUUGGGAAUGCAGCUCAAAAUGGGUGGUAAAUUCCAUCUAAAGCUAAAUAUUGGCGAGAGACCGAUAGCGAACAAGUACCGUGAGGGAAAGAUGAAAAGAACUUUGGAAAGAGAGUUAAACAGUACGUGAAAUUGCUGAAAGGGAAACGCUUGAAGUCAGUCGCGUUGUCCAGGGAUCAACCUUGCUUUUGCUUGGUGCACUUUCUGGUUGACGGGUCAGCAUCAAUUUUGACUAUUGGAAAAAGAUCAAGGGAAUGUGGCAUCUUUGGAUGUGUUAUAGCCCUUGGUUGCAUACAAUGGUUGGGAUUGAGGAACUCAGCACGCCGCAAGGCCGGGUUUUUAACCACGUACGUGCUUAGGAUGUUGGCAUAAUGGCUUUAAUCGACCCGUCUUGAAACACGGACCAAGGAGUCUAACAUGCCUGCGAGUGUUUGGGUGGAAAACCCGAGCGCGCAAUGAAAGUGAAAGUUGAGAUCCCUGUCGUGGGGAGCAUCGACGCCCAGACCAGACCUUUUGUGACGGAUCUGCGGUAGAGCAUGUAUGUUGGGACCCGAAAGAUGGUGAACUAUGCCUGAAUAGGGUGAAGCCAGAGGAAACUCUGGUGGAGGCUCGUAGCGAUUCU